UACGAAGGGGGCUAGCGUUGCUCGGAAUCACUGGGCGUAAAGCGCGCGUAGGCGGACCUGCAAGUCGGGGGUGAAAGCCCGAGGCUCAACCUCGGAACUGCCUUCGAUACUGCGGGUCUCGAGUCCGGGAGAGGUGAGUGGAAUUCCUAGUGUAGAGGUGAAAUUCGUAGAUAUUAGGAAGAACACCAGUGGCGAAGGCGGCUCACUGGCUCGGUACUGACGCUGAGGCGCGAAAGCGUGGGGAGCAAACGGG
rnacentral:rRNA from 1 species